rnacentral:rRNA from 1 species
CCUACGGGCGGCAGCAGUGGGGAAUAUUGGACAAUGGGGGCAACCCUGAUCCAGCCAUGCCGCGUGUGUGAAGAAGGCCCUCGGGUUGUAAAGCACUUUCAGUGAGGAAGAACGCCUGGUGGUUAAUACCCAUCAGGAAAGACAUCACUCACAGAAGAAGCACCCGCUAACUCCGUGCCAGCAGCCGCGGUAAUACGGAGGGUGCGAGCGUUAAUCGGAAUUACUGGGCGUAAAGCGCGCGUAGGUGGCUUGAUAAGCCGGUUGUGAAAGCCCCGGGCUCAACCUGGGAACGGCAUCCGGAACUGUCAAGCUAGAGUGCAGGAGAGGAAGGUAGAAUUCCCGGUGUAGCGGUGAAAUGCGUAGAGAUCGGGAGGAAUACCAGUGGCGAAGGCGGCCUUCUGGACUGACACUGACACUGAGGUGCGAAAGCGUGGGUAGCAAACAGGAUUAGAUACCCCAGUAGUC